rnacentral:rRNA from 1 species
UGGGGAAUCUUGCACAAUGGAGGAAACCCUGAUGCAGCGACGCCGCGUGAGCGAUGAAGCCCUUCGGGGUGUAAAGCUCUUUCGACGGGAACGAUAAUGAUGGUACCGGGAGAAGAAGCUGCGGCUAACUACGUGCCAGCAGCCGCGGUAAUACGUAGGCAGCAAGCGUUGUUCGUAGUUACUGGGCGUAAAGAGUGCGUAGGUGGUGCCCUAAGUCUGUUGUGAAAUCUCCCGGCUUAACUGGGAGGGUGCGGUGGAAACUGGGGUGCUUGAGUGUGGGAGAGGUAAGCGGAAUUCCUGGUGUAGCGGUGAAAUGCGUAGAUAUCAGGAGGAACACCGGUGGUGUAGACGGCUUACUGGACCACGACUGACACUGAGGCACGAAAGCGUGGGUAGCAAAC